GAAGAAGCCAGCCGACAAUAUUGGGCAGUGUUUCCCACUGGGCCGCAGGGAGUCCGUGGCUGCCGCCGUGACUCAUUACAUAGAGGAACUGGCCAGGUGUUUCUAUUUGGAACCAAUCGAUGGCGAGCUUGAACCUGGAGCUAGGGCUACUGUGUCCACUUGACAACUAGCAGAAACUACUAGUCUGGUAGGAAGGCUGCCAUAGCCUGGCACCCCACACACUCCAUGAACUCUGCCAAAUUGGGAGAACAUCCUGGAAGAAAACCAACGCUUCCCAUCCAACCUGAUGGAGCUUGAGAGGCGAUGCAAAGAGGAAGCUGCCCAAAGAUAGGUGUGCCAAGUUGGUUGCAUUGUCUUCAAAAAGACUUGAGGCUGUAAUCGCUGCCAAAGGUGCGUCAACAAAGUAUUGAGCAAAGCCUGUGAAAUACUUAAAUACAUGCGAUUUGAGUUUUUUAUUUUUAAUAAAUUUGCAAAAAAAUUAUGUUUUUCCUGUCAAGAUGGGGUGCUGAGUGUAAUUAAUGAGAAAUAAAAUGAACAUUCUUGAUUUUAGCAAAUGGCUCCAAUGAAAAAAUGAAAGAAGUCUAAAUACUUUCCGUGAUGCAGGAGUCUGAAACUUGUAUGGUGAUAUAGAUUUCAGUGUGGCCCAUCCCUAAGUUAGUUACCAUGUCGUUAGUUACCGUCCCUAGUUAGUUACCAUCCCUAGUUAGUUACCAUGUCGUCGAGUGAACCCUUGCCCUCUAACCCAAAUUUGGGUUAGGUUGAUAAGGGUUGAGCUAAGACGUUUAAGGUGCUGUAGGUGCGUUAGUUUGGGUUAAUCUUAAAGUUAGGGUUAUCAUGGACUAGUGGGUGUAAGUGUGAGUUUGGGUUAGCUUCAUUUGUGUUCCAAAGCACUUUAUAUGAACCCUGGAGAGAUCUGCAGGCAACACUACAGGGUUUGAAGACUGUUUCUGUCAUGUCUUGUGAUCAUGUCUAGUUUGGUUAAAACUCCAUUAGUUCCUGUUUUUUACGCAUCCUUGUUUGUAUUGUCACCAUGACGACCUUUAGUUUCACCUGUCUCACAUGUUGGACUCAUGCACCUGUUUUCAAUCAUCACAUGACUAUUUAAGCCUGUAGUUGCCAGGUAGUCGGCCUGGCGUCAUCACUCUGUUUAUGCUCAUUCAAUGCCAUUGUUCCAUGCUCGUUUCCAUGCUUUUCCAAGUAAGUUUUUGUUUACUCAUGUCACGUUUAGCGAGUCUUUUGUUUCAUGUCCAUAUUCUGCGUUAAGUGUGAGUUUUUGUUCUUUAGCCAGUUUUGUGUCUCCGCCUUGUGCGCGCCUUUUGUUUACACUUUUUAGAGAAAUAAUUAAAUCAUGUAUUUACCUUCACGCCAUGUCCGAUCCAAUUCUUAUGCAUCUCGGGAAAA